UGAAUAUGGGGGGACCAUCCUCCAAGGCUAAAUACUCCUGACUGACCGAUAGUGAACCAGUACCGUGAGGGAAAGGCGAAAAGAACCCCGGCGAGGGGAGUGAAAAAGAACCUGAAACCGUGUACGUACAAGCAGUGGGAGCCUCUUAAUGGGGUGACUGCGUACCUUUUGUAUAAUGGGUCAGCGACUUAUAUUCUGUAGCAAGGUUAACCGAAUAGGGGAGCCGAAGGGAAACCGAGUCUUAACUGGGCGUUAAGUUGCAGGGUAUAGACCCGAAACCCGGUGAUCUAGCCAUGGGCAGGUUGAAGGUUGGGUAACACUAACUGGAGGACCGAACCGACUAAUGUUGAAAAAUUAGCGGAUGACUUGUGGCUGGGGGUGAAAGGCCAAUCAAACCGGGAGAUAGCUGGUUCUCCCCGAAAGCUAUUUAGGUAGCGCCUCGUGAAUUCAUCUCCGGGGGUAGAGCACUGUUUCGGCAAGGGGGUCAUCCCGACUUACCAACCCGAUGCAAACUGCGAAUACCGGAGAAUGUUAUCACGGGAGACACACGGCGGGUGCUAACGUCCGUCGUGAAGAGGGAAACAACCCAGACCGCCAGCUAAGGUCCCAAAGUCAUGGUUAAGUGGGAAACGAUGUGGGAAGGCCCAGACAGCCAGGAUGUUGGCUUAGAAGCAGCCAUCAUUUAAAGAAAGCGUAAUAGCUCACUGGUCGAGUCGGCCUGCGCGGAAGAUGUAACGGGGCUAAACCAUG
rnacentral:rRNA from 1 species